rnacentral:rRNA from 1 species
AUGCCAUCUGGGGGAUGGCUCGGCUUGGGCGCCGAGGAAGGUCGUGGCAAGCUGCGAUAAGCCUGGGCGAGGAGCAUGCAUCCUUGGAACCCUGAAACAUCUUAGUAGGCGGAGGAAAAGAAAGCAACAUGCGAUGCCGUGAGUAAUGGCGAAUGAAAGCGGCACAGGACAAACCGAACCCCCCAUAGCAAUAUGGGGGGAAUGUGGUGUUGAUUGGGGGACAUGACACAUACAACUCUCCACGGGAGUGUGUCGAAGUCUGGCUGGAAUGCCAGCGCCGAAGAGGGUUAAAGCCCCGUAGAUACGCUCCUAGGGGAGUUGAUGUCAUGUCCCCAGAGUAGCGUCCGUUGGAUAUCGGGCGUGAAGCUGGGAGGCAUCGACUCCCAAUCCUAAAUACGUCCCAAGACCGAUAGCGUACUAUGUACCGUGAGGGAAAGCUGAAAAGCACCCCUAAUCGGGGGGUGAAAAGAGCCUGAAACCAGAUGGCGACAGCCCGACAUGGCAUGGAAGGAGUGAUACCCUUGUGAAAGAAACCAUGGCGACAUGGGAGUAUGAACAAGGGUGGACUAAUGUCAUGUCGUCCGUCUUGAAACACGGGCCAGGGAGUUUAGGGUUGUGGCGAGGCUAAGAAGCUAAACGCUUCGCAGCCAUAGGGAAACCAACCGGUCCGCAACAACCAAACUGGUUGUGAGGGACGGGGUCCCGAAAGGGCCUGGAGUCACAGCCCUAAGACCCGAAGCCGGUCGAUCUAGCCCUGGGUAGGGUGAAGUCGCUCUUACGAGUGAUGGAGGCCCGCAGGGGUGUUGUCGUGCAAAACGCUCCCCUGACCUGGGGCUAGGGGUGAAAGGCCAAUCAAGGCCGGUGACAGCUGGUUCCACCCGAAGUGGCUCGUAGGCCAGCCCGACCGGAGACAGGUGGCGGGGUAGAGCACUUAUUGGGUGUUUAGGGGGAGAAAUCCCUCGGCAUCCUGUAAAACUCCGAACCCGUCACCGUCGUAGAUGGUCGGAGUCAGGGGCGCGGGGUAAGCUUGUGUCCCGAGAGAGGAACAACUCAGACUGGGGUUAAGGUCCCUAAAUGCCGGCUAAGUCAAAGGUGGUCUUUGGCCCUAGACAAUGGGAAGGUGGGCUUAGAAGCAGCCAUCCUUUAAAGAGUGCGUAACAGCUCACCCAUCGAGGUCAAAGGCGCCGAAAAUGGAAGGGGAUCAAGCCGGCUACCGAUACCCCAGAGCACCACGGGAAUCCGUGGUGAUCUUGUAGGGUGGCGUCCUGUCAGGGUAGAAGCAGGGGCGUGAGCUCCUGUGGACCUGGCAGGAAUGAGGAUCCUGGUAGUAGUAGCAGCAAAGUGAGGUGAGAAUCCUCACCGCCGGAGGGGCUAGGGUUCCUGGGCUCUGUUCGUCAGCCCAGGGUUAGUCGGUCCUAAGGCCACUGGUAAUCUAAGUGGUCGAAAGGGAAACAGGUUAAUAUUCCUGUACAACCCAGGUACAUGCGGUGACGCUAGGACUGGCUUCUGACGCUUCAGGGUAGGCCGAGUAGGACCGUCGUCCUAUUUAAAGGUUGAAGCCUGGGGAGAACCGUAAUGGUGAGAACCAGGUGAAAGCCUGAAUAGCCACCCCUUGUGGGUGGUUCGGCCAACCCCUGGAGCCCAUGAAAAGGGAGCCAGUAUGGAUCCUGGGUUGCCGUACCGAGAACCGACACAGGUGCCCCUAGCUGAGUAGGCUAAGGCGUGUGGGGGUAACCUGGCUAAGGGAAAUCGGCAAAUUGGCCCCGUAACUUCGGGAUAAGGGGUGCCAGCCACGAGUAGUGGCUGGUCGCAGUGACUAGGGGGGCCCGACUGUUUAAUAAGUGAAGCGCCGGUAAACGGCGGGGGUAACUAUAACCCUCUUAAGGUAGCGAAAUGCCUUGCCGGAUAAGUACCGGCCUGCAUGAAUGGUUGAACGAGGUCCCUACUGUCCCUAGCCAGGACCUGGUGAAGCUGCUGUUCUGGUGCACAAGCCAGAGACUCCCAGUGGGAAGCGAAGACCCCGUAGAGCUUUACUGCAGUCUGCUGUUGGGGCUUGGUCAUGGGUAUGCAGUGUAGGUGGGAGGUGUCGAUGCCAUGGUCGCCAGGCCGUGGUGGAGCCGGUCAUGAGACACCACCUUCCUGUGACUGUGUCUCUAACCCCCCAUUGUGGGGGGGACAUCGGUAGAUGGGCAGUUUGGCUGGGGCGGCACGCGCUUGAAAUGGUAUCAAGCGCGCCCUAAGGUCGGCUCAGGCGGGACAGAGAUCCGCUGUAGAGUGUAAGGGCAUAAGCCGGCUUGACUGUGCUCCUACUAGUAGGGGGUGCAGGUGCGAGAGCAGGGCCUAGCGAACCCCAGAGUCCUCGUCGGUGGGGGCCUGGGAUGACAGAAAAGCUACCUCGGGGAUAACUGGGUGGUCGCAGGCAAGAGCCCAUAUCGACCCUGCGGCUUGCUA